GUACGUACAGUGACACAUACAGAAGAAAAUCACUUCCCAAAUCCAAAGUGUGGGAUUUCACAAAAUGUUAGCUCAAAUGUGGAAUAAAUUUCAUACAACCUAUUCUGCAUUCUCCAAACAAUUGAACAUCAAACUGAAAAUUUAAUGCCAAUCUGUAUGACAAAGGGGGGUGAGAGGAGAUGGCAUACUGGGAAUAUAGAUGCAUCAAUGAAUUUCAUGCUUAGGUAUUAUUAUGCAGGUAUUUGUGUGUGAUACAGUGAAAUGAUCUCAUAAAGCACUAGACAUAUCAUAAAUCGCUCA
rnacentral:misc_RNA from 1 species